UCCAAACAGAAUAGCCUUACAAGAUGCUUUCUAGUCCAUAAUACUGUUCCCAUACUAUUCACAACUAUUACAGUUUUACAAGUGAGAAUUAAUCACAUAAUUCAACAACUAUAUUUCUAAAAUAUGUUACUGAAAUAUAUGGUAUUUCUACUUUUUAAAAUGAGCUGUUUCUAAGGGCAAGUUACAAAAUACAUUAUGCUCUACUUCUUUAGAUCAAUUCCCCUUUUUCGAUAUCUAAUGCAGAAACAACAUUCAAUAACUACAGUAUGUUGUUUUUAAAAAAAGGUGUUAUGUUGGAGUAAUGUAACAAUAGCUGUAAUGAGGAGUCAGAAGGAUAUUGUUGUAAUAAAAUCUGAAAUUGUGAUUAGGAGCUCGUAGCAAACUCUUUGACAACACUGACAGCAAUCUGUUGCUGAAUGAAAGCUUGGCAUAGACUGGGGCAGUGAAGGAGAAAUGGUAGGGAGAUUGCUUCUCAUUUGUCAUGGGAUCCAUCCAGCCAAGAAACUUCACCAUUUUAUUUCAGGUCUGGAAGCAGCAUAGCUGCAGCUGAUUUCAUACAAGGACCCUUGCUGUUGUUAGGGUUUUGUGCAAUAUUUCCUCGUACAUGUGUAUGUGCAGACUGUUUUGUUGAACAGCAUGGCAGGAGUUUUGGAACCAAAAUUUAUAGUACAAAUUAAAUACGUUUUGGGUAGCUGACACUUGAAAUGGAAAUAGUGGAGGAAAAUGAACAUAUUGAACCACCCACUUAAUGCUUACUCAUUCUGUUUCUUGACACACUCAGCUUCUGCUGGGUUUGCUGCAGCACAAAGAUUAGGAGAGCUGAUUCUUUGCUUCCUUGUCCCUUGUGUUCUUCAUUCUUGGCAUGAAUGUUGUCAUGUCUGUGGUCUUGGAAUCCUGCAAGGAAAGAUGAAAAUCAGAGAUGGACUCUGAUUGGGGUUUACUAGUAUCAGGCAGCUUUAUAACAUGACUAAGCAGGGUGUUAAUACUUUUUGUUCAAAUGAAACAAAAUCCAGAAAGAAAACACAAAUGCUCUAUGGCCUGAUUCUGAGAAGCGUUCUGCAAGUGUUUGCUCCCCCUGUCUACUUCUAUGAGAAAAGACACAUUGCCAGAACAGCAGCGUAACGUACUAUUCACACUUAAACAACAAGCUGAGGAGAGCUUAAGGGAUGCAUGUCUCUCCAUUUAAGAAUAUGUUACACACAAAAAGACCUUACAGAAAGACCUUGGGUCAGGUUGCCAAGUCAAGCCCUCAAAGUGUAGCUACUUGUAUACAAUUGUCUUUUGGAGGGAGGUCAGGAAAGUGCUUAAGUGUUAGCAAAGCAACUUAAUUUUUCCUAGCUUUACUCUUGGACCCGCUGAAUUAUUUUAAUACUUACGAAUUUUUUUCUUCUUUAAAAACAUGUACCUGAUGGGGGAAAAUGUCAGCUCACAGAGCUGAAAGCUGGCAAAUGUAUAAGCAGUUGAAAAAAAGAUAAGCUCUUGCUGAUGAGUAAAAUUAGGAAUGGAUGGUUUCAUCAUGCUGGCUUUCAGUGUGCAUGACUUCUGAACAUGCAGUUCAAAGAGCUCUAAAGUUUCCUCAGCACUCUAUAUUUAGUCAGCUUUUACCUAUCAGCAGCCUAAUCUGCUGAAAAAAUCUUGAUUAUGAUCUCAAGAAAGUCAGCAUCCGUUUGUUUUCUCUUUCAGUUUGCUCCCUGUGUGCGCAAGUGAGGCUGAUAUCCUUGGAUUCAUGCUUUCACGAACAAUGUAUUUGCAUUGAGAUUAUGAGACUUUUACAUGCUGGAAAAAAAAAUGAAAUGAGGCGUCUAAACCCAACUGCAAAAGGCUCUGUCAUUGCAGCAUUAGGAGAGUUGUUUGUGGCUCCUCUCAAUCCUAUUGUAUCUAAAAAAUAGCUUCUACUGAAGUUUUAGGGGUGAGCAAGGUAGUAAUUUUGCUCACACGCGUGCAUAACUUUGUUGUUUGUUUUCUAUUUUAUAGGCAGUAAACUGGAAAAAAACUUUAGUCUGAAGAAUGCAAAGAAAACGUGAUGUUGAGUUCAUUAAGUUGUUGUUUGCUUCCGAGGUUUUGUCUGAGAACCUCAGCUCUGUCAGCAGUGAGCACUGGUUUACCACGUGAAAUGAAUGUUGGCCCGCAAAGCCACUACUGCAGUGAUAAACUGGUUGGCUCUGAUGGUAGUGUAUUGAAAGUCAAGGUGAUGCAUGGGCACAGCUUAAUUCUUUGUUCACAAUGGAGAAUUUCACCCUAGAAGCAGAGUGGUCUUUCUCUUAAGACUAGAGCUGUUUCUUUUUAAUGAUCUGGGAGCAAAAGUAAGACUUACAUAUUACUUCCUCGCUAUUUACUCAGCACACUUCAUAGGGUUAUUGUAAAGUUCUUACAGAAUUCUUAGAAUCAGGAGGAGGGAGAUAUUGCUCGUAUCUUCAAAGUCAUCUUUCUUGCACUCACGCUUCUUUAAAAAAUAAAUUUUCAAGCAAUCAUGUUUAAAAGUAGGUAAAUGAAAGCACAUUUCCAUUUCUUACAACCCUACUGGUGGUUUUGUUAAAACCAAAACAAAAGCGUUAAAAAUUGAUCAGUAGUAGUAGUAAAAGAUAUAAAGCAAAAUCUCCACAUGUUGUUUGUGAUGGUGCUUUGAUAUUGUGUGCAUAAUUCUGUGCAAAAAGCUAUUUUUAUUUUUCAGCCCAGGCACCUUGUAUUAUUCACCAUAAUUUAAAAUAAUUAAGUCUCACUUAUUGCUAGUAACAAAAAUCUGAGGUAAUUUUGCCAGAGUGAUGCUGAAUAGCUCAUUUUUUCAGAUUUACUCAUUUGUGUUUAAUGUAGCUAUUUCAUCUUAAAUUAUUAAGAAGCCUGAGAUACGUAAAGUUCUGUUUUUAAAACAGUGUUUAUUAAUAGACUUGCUUGCUCUUUGACUUAAUGCAACUAAUUAAAUUGUUAUUAGGUUGCUAAUGUGGAAGACAAAACUAUCCUGGAGCAUAGAAUUGCUUGAGGAGAUCUUAGACAAGCCAUGCAUACAAAGUUAAGGAUACCUUGGGGACUUCAGUGCUUUGCAGGAUGUGACUGUUGCGCUGUCACGUCUUGAAAUGAAGCAAUGCCAGGAAAGCCAAAAUUACUGAGGGCUUUAGUCCUUACUUAAGGCCACUAGGGGUAGGAUAAUUGAAUGUGGAUGUUUCCUGGUUUGGGACUUCUUCUCUGGAUCUUUGGCAGUCACCAGAGUCUGAAUUUGAGCAGCUGGGUAGGAUUAGGUUGACUGUGAGCAUUUAUUUAUACAAGGAAAGAAUUAUCUCUUUUUCUGCCCUCAUUGUGCAGAGCUCUGAGGAAAUCAUGUGCUGCUGCCUCCUCUGCUGAUAGAGGGUAGGGUUUUGUCCAGUUACUUCUAUCAGCAUCACAGCUGAAACUGUGCCUGGAUGUUAGGAAGUGGCUGCUGAGACUGUACCUUCCUGCAAGUCCUGCUCCCCUGCUUUCUUUAGAGGCACGAGGGAGCACCGAGCCCACCUCUUUACAGGCUUCUUCACGAUUCCAGCCAACACCAAGGAGCUCUGGUGGCACAAAAGCUAGUGGGUUGUUGCAGUGCUGCCUUGGCUGGGUAUCUCCCAUCUCCCCCUGCAUUUUCCUUCCACAUAAGCAAUAAUAAUAAUAAUAAAUAAUAUUCUACCGCUGCUCCUUUAAACAACAACAACAAAACAAAAAGAAACCCAAAACAACAUAAUUGUACUCUUCUCUCCCCACAUCUUGGAAGUGAUCCCCCUGGCAACGACCAGCUAAUUGAUAGAGUGACAUGGUGGCCCCAAUAAUAUGUAUUGUCACAUCUAAAGAAUAACUUUUCAGUGACAGCAUGCCAUUAGUUCCUGCACGUACCUUGAGUGGAGGUGCACUCCUCUUGAGGAGAAGAGCUGAAUGGUCAUGAAGUGAACAAAGCCAUCCCAAAAUGGAGAUGAAGAAAACUUGAUUUUCUUAUGUGUGGAGUAGAGGUAGCUAGCUGCUUUGGUGCAGAAAUCAGAUGAUCUAUUUCAAGUUUUAAUUUGUUAUGAAAUGCACCACGGUCACGGUAGAAUUUAAGUAGUAAUUGAUCAUGGCGGAUUAAGUGCUAAUGUGGCAUAAAGCCUGGUUUUGGUGACGUUCACUUGCCUGAAUAUCUAAGAUGCAGAAAAAAGCCAUUAAGAAACCUAUUUACUUUUACUAAUCUUUGCUGUUCUUACUAAUUUCUUAUCCUUUACAAGAGCCAGGAUAGAAGAAAAUAGAUGAAUAGCAAUUUGUUUGUAAGGAGUUUAUUUCCUCAUACAAGGUGCAAAAAAGUGGGAAAACAUCUGAUUCUUGUGAGUUUUCUUGCAAUCACAUUAUCUCAUUUUAAAAUGUUUUUCUUGUAAGCUGUGUGAAAAAUCCAUAUACAGCAAAGGAAACUGAUGGAUACUCCUCAAGGGAGUAGUUCUGGCUAUGAUCAAACUGUUUUCAAAUGUACACUGUAAACAAACUGAAAAUUUAAGAUUUCCACGUGCUUAAUUGUUCUUUGAUGGCAGUAUUGGAAGAAAACUUGUGAUGACAGUGGUGAGAUAUUUCCCCAAAAGGGAAGGAGUUCUAAAGCAGAGACAGCAUUGUCACCUACUAGUGCUGCAUCAGUGUCCUCUAGUUUUCCAAGCCCUCUAGCCCCAACCUUGGGAAUUAUCAGGCUGAUAAGAUGAAGCAAGUCUUGGGAGAAUUUGGUGGGGAAGUGAGGCCGUUUUCCCCUGUGAAUGGUGGAGUUGAUCUCUUGCUUACCUGACUUAGCAUUUUGUUUCUAGUGACAAGUAUCAGCGUGUCUCCAUAAGGAUUUGCCUGGGUUCAGUUGGCUAUGUGUGGGCCAGGGAUCUAAAAUGUUACAUGGUCAGUCUUGAGAUAAAUUUUCUCUCUCUAACUUUUUUAACUUAUGUCUUUAACUCUUUACAGCCGCCUGGAGUUGUGGACAGGCCACCAGAGCUCCAUGCAAAUGUGCUCCUCCACUGGGUGCUGGCUCUGCCAGGUUUCUGAGUAUUGCAAGAGCCUCAGGGCAGAGCAGCACACCUGCUGCGGUUUGAUUUCUGGAUUUUUCUCUGCUGUGGAGGCUGAAGUGUUGGUGUUUUGUUUGCAGCCUGGCAGAGAGAGCAUGUGCAUUAAAGGAUGAUGUUUUAGGACUGGCUCCAAACCAGAGUGCAGUGAAUAUCCUUUUUGUGGCUCUGUUUAGGGUAUUUGAGGCAAGAGUGUGGCCAAACCCAGUCAAAAAUCCAUAAAAAGCAUUUCCAGCUCUGUUAAAUGAGUUGUGUUCCCUUUCUGUUCCAGUUUUUCUUUUUUUCCUUGAGAGCAAAAAGCAUAGCAAAGAGUGGGUGGUGAGUAGCCCUUCUCUCAGCCUGCUGAUGUAUUCUUUGAAACCUUUGGCAGGAAAGAUAUUGCCUAAACAGUUGAAGUUUGAAGUAGCUUAGAGCCACCAGAACAUGGGAAGCUAGUUAGUUAUGUGAUUCCAGCUUCAUGUGUGCUUCUUCCUCCCUGACUGUGUACCCAGGGCUACUCACUGGCUGUAGCACAGAGAUGAACUUUUGGAUGGAAAUUGGCUAUCUGGGCUGAUGGCAGAGGCACUGCCAGGUGAAGAUCUGCAGCAUGGUAUUGGCAUGUCUGCUGUCCAGACCUGUAUGGUUGCUGUCAGGUUGUUUACUGAAAGUAGCGUUUUAAGAAACUCUUGAGAUAAAAUUUCUUCUUUAGAAGAAACUCCUGCAGCUCUUGUGAACAAAGUAAUCCCUACAUCUUACUGGGUGCUGUUUCUAAUUUCUCCGAUUGAACUGUGAAUGAGAAAGAAAGCUUUUUGCUCAUAGGUAAAUAAGAUAGAGUUUAUAAACCUUUUUGUUUCAUUAAAGGCUACUGAGAGAAACAGUACAGCAUUGUUACCUCAGUACUCUGUGAUGUCAUCCUAUAUGCACAAAGGAAAACAUUCAGGCCUUCCUUCUUCUACAAGUUACUGUGGAGACAGUCAGCAGGAGCUGAGCUGGGCUGGUUUUGGUGCCAUUUGGCAAAAUUCACCCGAAUAUACCUGUUGUUUUGAUUAGCCUGAAGAACCAGUCCUGACAAAAUGAAUUGCUGAAAACCAAAGCUGAAACAUGUUAAGUGUGGUUCUGAUUUCAUAGGGAUAGGCAUGACUGAACCUGAGGACAAUGUGGCUCAGAAGUGGGCCUGUUAUCUCUAGGCUGGAAGCUCAAAUUCAAGCAAUUUGGAAGUCUGUUUCUAAGCAUAUGUCAUGGCUAGAUAAAACUUUUGGCGGUUCUAAGCAGUAUGGGAGACUACAGCAUUGUGAUCAUAGCCACUCGCUUAUCAAGAUACAGACAAGAAAAUGGGCUUGAACAUUCACUAAGCCAUGAAACAAAACUGCCCCCCCCAACAAAAACCCAAAAACCAUCCCAACAAAGAAACACAAAAACCCACCACCGCUACUACGAAAAAAAGCCUACUUGCAAAGGACUUUCUGGGUAUUACUGCUGCUUGUGGCAGAAGAGGAAGGCAAGUUGCAAAUACAUAUAAGAUGAUCCAUAUUUUGAACAUGGAAUGAAAACAUCAGUGUUGACGUCUUAUGCAUUUUGAAAAACAGAUUAGUGGAAAAGUGGUGUGAGUCAUGCAUGCAAUUUGUCUGAUUUAAACUUCAGUUAAAAUAACUGAGAACUGAGAAGGCAAGGAUUUACACAGAUCAAAAGGCCUGCUAUUGUAGAGCUGAAAAAUGGUGGUAUUGAGAUAAAAGGAGUUUACCCACUGCUGAUUUAGCAAUGGAAGGCUUAUUGACUUUUCACAGACAUCAAAUAAGUGUUCACUUGCUUUUUAAUUUAUUGACAGACUAACGAGCUGCAGGGCCUCCUUCUCGAAGCACACAGCCCAUCAGAGUGGUCCCAGAGCUGAGCAUUACCAGGCUCAGCCAACAGCCGCGCACUGCCUGACAUGAAGGUGGUUUGUCAGAAACACCAAUGAGCCAGGGCUGUAAGACGUAGGCUGCUCUGGGAAGGGCAGUUAGCUCUGUGACAGUGCUCAGGUUGUCAGUGAAAUGCCAGACUUAGUGAAGGGAUUGGCAUCUGUCCUCACCAUGUGUCUGAACUGAGAGCAAGCUCAGAAUGGCAGGCUUGAACAACUGUAUGCAUGUGCUAGAGAAAGCCAAGGGAUGAAGUGCUCAGACCUUAGUUGAGAUUUCAGCACUGAAGGUAGAACCCAGCUCUGCUGUGUAUAAACAAAAACUUUUUUUGCAUUUUUCAAUACCAGUAGAUUACCAAUACUUCUGUUUCUUUAGGGAGAUAACACCAUCCCUUAAGUGUCUUAAUUAGAAAAACUCAUUAGUAGGAAGGUAUUUUUUCUAAGAACUCCCUUUACUCAUUUGAAGAGAAGUAGUUGGAGACAGAGAGGUGAGUCAUUUUUGCUUGGCAUGCUGCUGCAGCGAUGGCAGCUGCCUUUAUGUUGUACUGACACUGGCUCUGCACCUUGAAACUAGUAUAAACCAUGCCUGGAAGAGGGCUUCAGAGCCAAAAUGUCACAGGUAAUCCUGCUGCUGCACUUCAUCUGCAAAUUAGUCUUGUGUGGGACCGGCCCUGAUAGUUCUGGGAGAAGAUAAAGCAAAGAAGUUUCUUAAAAACUUGUGUGUGUAUGCUAGUCACUUGUGUAUACAGAGUCCUGUGCCAAAUGAUUUUUGCCUGUUUGGUAGUGGAGAUUCUGCCAGGCUAUUUGGCACAUAUUUAAUCAAGGAUUAGAAGACAAAGGAAUUGUCUUUGAAAAGACAUAAGCAGUUAGAAAACGCCUUGGAGGUGCAUUGCUAUUGCUUUCUUCUUUGAUCUCCAGAUAGACCAAUUAUUUUUAUUCCUGUGUCUGCAGUUAUUAAUUGUGCUUAUUUAAUGUUUUAAGGAGGAGCACUGUUUUACGUGUAAUUAACAAUAAAAGUGUGGUGAUACCAUUGGUUUGCUCUUGAAUUAGGAAACUUGGGAAACUGUAGCUGCCACUUGCAAUGGUGAGUUCACUGUUUACAUCCGGUUCCUUGUCCAGGGUUUCAGCCUUAAUGACAGUGCCUAAAUGUAAAAUAUUACAAUUUAUAUUUAUUUCUUGUCUAUGGCAAAAUAUCCCCAAUGGUGAGAGGGGAGAGUUACGGAAAGAUCCAGAUUCCUAUGUAUGGUAAAAGAUGGGGGAGUUGUUACUGAUGCCCCAUUCCAUUUGUUUGAUGGAUCUGCUGUAAGCCACACUUGUAGCAUAAUUUUUAGAGGUUUGUAAUGUAAAAGAAUUCAGACAGUUUACCAUGAAGACUCAGUUUGGUAAACAAUUCUAGAAACCAGACUGCUGAAAUGAAACCUAACUAUUGAUUGAAUCCAAACAAAGUGUGUAGUGUGGUAAUCAGCUGUCUCAUAGAAGGAAAUGGAGCUGACAUACACCCUAGUAAAAGCAUUGGGAGGCUUAGUGCUUUGUGCAAAUACACAGUGCCCUUCACUUUGCUUGUAACUGCUUUGGUCUAGCUGUGGACUCGGGUAAAUAUUGCUCUCGGGAUUACACUUAAGCCACAUUUUCAAAAUUUCCAGCUUGAGAGCUACAUUUUCAUAAGCAGAAACUAAGAUAUAUAUAUAUAUAUACAUUUUGAAGUCAUCGCAUCUCUUUGAGCCAUGCUUAGAUGUGGUCCUCCUACAUUCAAUUUUUAAUUAUUUGUGAAGUGAUUUCUCUCCUAUUUGGACUAAGAGUGAAAUAGACUAGGGAUAUUUUCAGUAACACUUAUCUUGCGAAGAAUGCAGUUCAUUUUGUGUGCAGUGCUUAAAAGCCAGUAAAUAGCCUUGGCUUUUCUUUGAGACAGCAGAAUGCAGCAGUGGGGGCUGUUCGCCCUGAAUUAUAGCACAGACUGCAGGACUUGAUAAGAAAGCACUGUGUGGGAGCAAGAUAAAAUUACAUCCUUGGGAUUAUAUUAAAAGUACAUUUGUGAAAACUGUGUUUUCAUGGCACGGUUUGAUUUAACCUGUCCUUGAAGUCAUCACACCUCUCUUUGCCUCGUACUGUUUUAUCUUGCUUCACAGAUGGUGCAUGGGGAAAAUAAAGCACAGUGAUAAUGGUCAGUGUCUUGUGUAUUUGUAGCUGUGUGAGCAGCAGUUGCACACUGUGUUUAUAACCCUAGGCACUGCAUGAUUUUUAUAUUUAUCCCUGCUUUCCAGACCAGGAUUCCCACUGGGUACAAGGGCCUUUUAGGACUCAUGUCUUAGGAGCAACUGAGAAAAUGGUGUCUGUUUUUAGGAGUACCCUGCUGGAGCAUUGCCUCUGUAUCAGUAUUUUAGAAAUGACAGUUGGCUCAAAGUUAGGUUGUUAUGAAAACCAACAGUCACAUAGUGAAGCACUUGAAAGUAAACGUAGCUUUUAUACCUUAGUUAAAUAAAUAAGAAUUUGGAGUAGUUGCUGCUUGGAGCGUGAUGUGAUUCUUCUUGGUCAUAAAUCAAGGCAUAAGGAUUGCUUACUCUUCUUGUUACAUUAUGCUCAGGCUAUGAAAUCCUAUGCUUCUGAAGUCCUUCUCAGGGUUCCAGUGUCUGUGUGAGUUUGUUUAUUAAUGUAUAAUUGUAACCUAGUAUCCAUCUUCUCCGGGAGAAGAAGGAGAAAUUCAGGUGUUGUCUGGCUUCUUACCAUGGGCUUGUCCUGUAGAUCCAGAUUGUGUUGUUUUUCUUGGCUAGAAAUGAAUCAUUUCACUUUUAAAAAUGCACGCUCAAAUUCAACUCAGCCUGGAACUGAAUAAUUCCUAGUAAGAAGAAGGAUUCAGUCCCUUCAAUCUUGUAUGUUGUUGCUGUUAGAGCCUGGCCUGAAAAGAAGAGAAAAACAAAACUGGAAGUCUGUUUCUAAGCGUGUGCUGAAGUGAGUUUGCAGUAAGGAUUGUUUCUGGCUGGUUGGACUGCUGAUGCAUCUUUGUCUCUUCUGGGCUUCAUGUACCAACACUGUGAGCUGAAGAAUUAGAGACAUUCAACGUUUUACUGCAGAACUUAUUCAGAUAAAAACUGAUAGGUGGGUUAUGUGAUGCUGCACAGACUUUAGAGGGGCAUGUCUGAUGAGCCUUGUGCAUUUUAACUACUAUCACCACGACCUACACUCGGAUUAUGUGAUCUAAAUAUUUGAAGAUGAUAGAAGUAUAUUAUGGAUAGCAAGAACUAUGAUAAUUCAAACUUAUACUUAGCUUAAUCCAUGACUUGAAAUAGAUGUUAAUUUUAACCUCAUCUUGCAUGUGCACAUCUGCAACAGAAACAGACGUGGGGCCCAGAAAGCAUCCUGAUGAGGUGCUGUAUGACUUUUGUGAUAGCGGCCAGCCAGCAGUUUGACUUCUAAGAAAUACUGCUAAUGGUAAGAGAGUUUGACAAGGAGUCCUAUGUAAAGAUCAUACUUGAGCAGAGCCUCUCAGUCCCCUAGAGGCCUAACUCUAAAUGAGUGUAUAUAGUCUGAGUAUCUCUGUCUGCAAGAGGGGAACAGUGUUUGAUCUGCAUUCAGGGAAGAGUUCCCGUGGCUUCAACUGCUUUAGCUCAAAGCAGUGAGGUUGGAGGGACACAAAACCAUUCCCUUCCUUAAAGGGCUUCUUAACAAUCUUACUGCUACUUUCACCUUAUUUUCUUGUAAGCUUAUAAAAUGGUUUGCCAUCUCUGCAAGGAAAGCUCUGCUGCUGUUUAAUUACUAUUGUGAUGCUACUAGGAAAGAGAAGUUGGUGUUCAUCCCUUUCCCAGUUUGAUUUUGAGCUACUCCCUUUUUCUGUUUCUCCUCCUUCCAUUUCUACCAGUGACCAUAAAGCAGUCAGUCUUCUAUGAAGUCAAAAUUAAAGAUUGAUUAAAGGCAAGAACUAUACCAAGACUUCCUAUGAGAACCAUAAUAAAAUUGAAAUGGUAUUUUCUUCAAUGCUCUGUAUCCACUGAAGUUAUUCCUUUAAGUAAGAAAAUGGGUUGUUACUGUCAGCAUUUGUCAUGCAUGGUGAGAGGGUAUGAAUUUGAAGUCCAGAUGGGUUAAGACUGUGAUGCAGGACUCCCAGGGCUGUGCUGCUCAGGAGAACUGUAUUCAACAUGUUUCAAAAUGUUGUCCCAGGGUGAAUGGAAUGCAUACUAAUUAAGUGAAAAUGGAAACAGACCUUUCAGACUUCUCUUUUUAAUCACUGAGCUGUGGUAUUUUGUUUUCCCUUAAGCACUGGCUGUCUUGCCUGCUAUGGCAAGGGCUAGAGCAGGGGCUGGUGGAAAUCAGGAGCAAAUGUGCUGAAACUGCUGAAGCUAGUGAGUGCUCAUUGGGCUUGUGAGUCUAGAGCACUGUAAACCUGAGUAAAGAAACACUCAUAGCGGCACAUUGCAUUGCCCCUGCUUAAAAGGAGGGUGAUGAGCCUUCUUCCUUUCCUUUUUCACAAGGUAAGGUCAAGGGGCCAUUUGCUACUGACCCCGUGGAGUUUGGGGUCCUUGGGGGAAGGCAGAGAAGAAGCUGUUGUGGUACAUCUGAGCUUGCAUACAGGUUCUAGCAUCUGGGCCCUCCUACUGCCUCCCACCCAUCACUUCGGGCACCCUAUUUAGGACUGAAAUCAUCCAAGCUUUCAGUCAUCUCUGGAGUGGCCUGGGCUGGGGUGAGGGAUUGGUGGUGGGAAGAGCUGAGCCAGGGCAGGGAGCUGGGGAGAGCGGCAGACGAGGAGACAUGGUUGACCUUCCCAGAAGGACAGCAAAUUGGGGUGAGGGAUGGAGCCUGUUCCCAUUGCCUUCUCCAUUCAGCAAAGGAACAAAAAGGAGAAAAAGAACUCUGCUUAGGUUGAAGACCAGGUUUCAACCAGGGAUGUCUGUUGACCAGGCUGCUAGGAACUACUUCUAAGGGAUCUGUGAAUGAUAAAAACAAGUUUUCUAUCAAAGGGCUUCAAGUACAUUUCAGAGCACUAGUGCUAUUGGAGAAGGUGUAGGAGGAGUAGAAGUUGGAAAAAAGUUUGAAAACCACUAUUCAUACAAAACUGUUUUGCCUGGUACUUUAUCAGCGUUCAUUUCCCUUUUAUGCUUUAAUUAGGCAUGUGACUGGGAGAGGAGUGGAUAUGCCAUUUUUGCAUGCUCCCUGCUACUUGUUGUCAGAAUAAGUGUGUUCCUGUUGCUGACGGGCUGAGGGUGGCACAUACCAAGAUACAAUCACUUUCACUGGAGUGAAAGAUCGGCCUGACUCAGUGCUUUUGUUUCUAAUUAUGUAUUUGCUCUCUCCACCUCCUCCAGGGCAUCUGGUUUAUGCUCUGAGCAAUGUGGUGGUUCAUAUUAAGUGUUCUUUACUGUGCUACUUAAUUUAGGUGUUCAAAAACAUGUUAAAUGCUAUGUUGAACACUAACUUGUUAGACAGAUGGGCUAGAUCGUGGUUGUGGCUGCUGGCACUGUUCACUUCCUUGUAGAAUGUAUCACUCCAAUUUCUGCAGUAAAUGCAGAAAAGAGGUCUGAACU